rnacentral:rRNA from 1 species
GUAAGUUCCGACCUGCACGAAUGGAGUAACGAUUUCCCUACUGUCUCCACCAUGAACUCGGUGAAAUUGCAUUACGAGUAAAGAUGCUCGUUACGCGCAGCAGGACGGAAAGACCCCGGGACCUUUACUAUAGUUUGGUAUUGGUGAUUGGGACGGUUUGUGUAGGAUAGGUGGGAGACGUUGAUGCGGCCACGCUAGUGGUGGUGGAGUCGUUGGUGAAAUACCACUCUGAUUGUUCUGGUUAUCUCACUGUGGACCGUGAUCCGGUUCAAGGACAGUGCCUGAUGGGUAGUUUGACUGGGGCGGUCGCCUCCUAAAGAGUAACGGAGGCUUCUAAAGGUGUCCUCAGCACGCUUGGUAACCGUGCGCAGAGUGCAAUGGCACAAGGACGCUUGACUGUGAGACUGACAAGUCGAGCAGGUACGAAAGUAGAGCAUAGUGAUCCGGUGGUUCCGUAUGGAA